rnacentral:lncRNA from 1 species
CCUGGAAUCACACAUAUCACAGCCCUGUGAUGCACCACCUUGCACUUGCUCUCCUUGAAUUUACCAGCCUCCUCACACCUGCUAUGUAAUUAUUUCCUAAAUAAAUCUGGGGCUACUAGAAAUUUUUUGUUGCUGUGGCCCAUUGCCUGAUACUGAAGGGAUACAAACAGUAAAAAUACUUUCAUUAUUAUGAUUCAGGAUCCUUGAAUUCAGUCUCCAAACAACAGAAAUUAAAAUAUUUGUAGCAAUUAACUUUCAAUCUAGUUAAAUAUUUUUAUUCAGCAAAAAUUAUUUUUUAGUAACAGUAUGAAGUGUUUUUUCAACCAAAGGGGAUUAAUCUUAUAUUGAUUUAACCUGCAGCCCUCGAAACAACAGUAAUUAUAUCUUGGUUGAUAUGUGAAUAUGUUUUUCAAAGCAGGGAAAAUUGUUUAGAAGCAGCAAAUUAUUGUUUUGAGCCUAAAAGAAAAUCCUCUGGGUGUAAAGCAAAUUAAAAAGAGCAAGGGAAUACCUAUCAGAUCUGUUGUGGAUCCCUGCAGGUGUUUUCAAGGAAUGUGAGAGCCUUACCCUCCUAUUGCAACCCUUGUGCCCUGCCCCAUCCAUAUUAGAGCUCACAAUAAUGUGGGUGCUGCUCAGCAGCUGCUGUUGUCUUCUUCCACAUACACAUUUCCUUGUCUGAUGGGAGCAUGGCUACUUUGAAACAGCUUAAUUUGAAGUGAACCUGCAAUAUCCAGAUGCUGCAGGAGGAGGGUGGAGAGGCAGAAUUCUGGAAGACAGUAGACAUGAGAUUCUCCAGCUGUUCCCUUGUUUGCUCCUUGGUGCUACAUACUACCACCACAUCUGGUGAAGAUUCAUUCAGGUAUGAAU